CAAGGCUUGACAUCCACUUAAACGCAUGGAAACAUGCGGUCUCUUCGGAGGAAGUGAGACAGGUGGUGCAUGGUUGUCGUCAGCUCGUGUCGUGAGAUGUUGGGUUAAGUCCCGCAACGAGCGCAACCCCUAUUGCCAGUUACCAGCGGGUUAUGCCGGGGACUCUGGUGAGACUGCCGGGGACAACUCGGAGGAAGGUGGGGAUGACGUCAAAUCAUCAUGCCCCUUAUGUCUUGGGCUACACACGUGCUACAAUGGCUGAAACAAAGGGAUGCGACAACGUAAGUUGAAGCGGAUCUCACAAAAACAGUCCCAGUUCGGAUUGUGGGCUGCAACCCGCCCACAUGAAGUCGGAGUUGCUAGUAAUCGCGGAUCAGCAUGCCGCGGUGAAUACGUUCC
rnacentral:rRNA from 1 species